UUCUUGUCAAGCCAUGCUUAAGCAUUCAGAAACAGCAGCAAGUUACCCUGAAGAGUGUUCCCUUUGGAGAUUUCCACAGGAAAGCUUUUACAGACCUGGUGCCUCCUUGCAAUUCAAAACGACCGCUUUUUAAUCCGCCUAAGGCAUGGCAGCUGCUGAUCGGUCCAGGUCCGUUAUUGGGUAGAACAAGGAGAGAAAGUCACGCCUCCCUCCAUCCUCCACCGGCACAGGCCCCACAAUCACCUGUCUCAGACCCAAGGCAAGUUUGAAGGCUUUGAAACUGACAGGAGGAGGAUCUGUGCAGGUGUGGCUGGAAAGACAAUCUCACCAGGUGCCAGGAGAGAUCAUCUUGUCACUCCUGCUCCCCGCAGGGCCUGCCACAAACUUCAGUUCCGCCUCCUGAGCUUCCGUGGGGUUCCCUGCUCCUAAGCAGCUGGUUCUCACCUGAUUGACACCUGCUAGAAGGGGCUGUCAGCAACCACCCCCCCACCUGUGCCAUCCCCACACCCCCUGCCGCCCUCAGCUCCUCUCUCUGCAUCAUUUGAGGCGUGAAGACAUUGUCUUUCAUGUUCUUCUCCUCUCUGGAGCAAGGGCUUAACAAGACCGGUAAGCACUCGAUAGAUACCACUGAUUGAUGGAUUGACUGAUUGAUUCAGGCUGACUUGGCAGCAAGAGGAUGGGCCAGACACCGUGUGUGUGUGUGUGUGUGGCAGGGAU